rnacentral:rRNA from 1 species
AAUACCUAGGAAUCUGCCUGGUAGUGGGGGACAACGUUUCGAAAGGAACGCUAAUACCGCAUACGCCCUACGGGGGAAAGCAGGGGACCUUCGGGCCUUGCGCUAUCAGAUGAGCCUAGGUCGGAUUAGCUAGUUGGUGAGGUAAUGGCUCACCAAGGCGACGAUCCGUAACUGGUCUGAGAGGAUGAUCAGUCACACUGGAACUGAGACACGGUCCAGACUCCUACGGGAGGCAGCAGUGGGGAAUAUUGGACAAUGGGCGAAAGCCUGAUCCAGCCAUGCCGCGUGUGUGAAGAAGGUCUUCGGAUUGUAAAGCACUUUAAGUUGGGAGGAAGGGUACUUACCUAAUACGUGAGUAUUUUGACGUUACCGACAGAAUAAGCACCGGCUAACUCUGUGCCAGCAGCCGCGGUAAUACAGAGGGUGCAAGCGUUAAUCGGAAUUACUGGGCGUAAAGCGCGCGUAGGUGGUUCGUUAAGUUGGAUGUGAAAUCCCCGGGCUCAACCUGGGAACUGCAUCCAAAACUGGCGAGCUAGAGUAGGGCAGAGGGUGGUGGAAUUUCCUGUGUAGCGGUGAAAUGCGUAGAUAUAGG